rnacentral:tRNA from 1 species
GGACCGGUAGUUCAGUUGGUUAGAAUACCUGCCUGUCACGCAGGGGUCGCGGGUUCGAGUCCCGUCCGGUCCGCCA